GGGUCAGUAGGUUGGUCGUGCCACCGGUACGUACUGGUCUCACUGAUUCCUCCUUCCUGAAGAACCGUAAUGCCAUUAAUUUGGUGUUGCGGGGAAACAGGACUGUUACUUUGAAAAAAUUAGAGUGUUUAAAGCAAGCUAACGCCUGAAUACGUUAGCAUGGAAUAAUGAAAUAGGACGAUCGAUCCUAUUUUGUUGGUUUCUAGGAUUGACGUA
rnacentral:rRNA from 1 species